rnacentral:lncRNA from 1 species
AAUGUAUAUUUAUUUGUUAAUAUGUUUGUUUGUUUGUUGAGAAGCUCAUCUUUUGACUUCACCAUCUUUCUUUGCUUAGGUAAAUCUAUUUUCUGUUUCAGUGGCCCACUUUCUCCAAAUCUGCCGACCUUCUCCAGGAAUGUCCCAAACCCAAACCCUAUCUUUAGAAGGUUUUUAUCUGUCUUAAGCAAGUAUCCAGAGCUUCAGAUGACUUCCUGUUGCUCUUUUCCUAUCUGUUGCCCCCACCAUAUGUAUUGUACCAAGACAUCUACUUUCACUUGCUGGCUAUAGCCUUAAUCGGACCCAUGGCACAGUCAUGAGUGAUUACAUAACAAAUUCACAAUAUUUCACUCUCCUUAUGCCUUACACAAUCUUAAUUUUAAUUAAAACCUCAUAA